rnacentral:rRNA from 1 species
UACGUAGGUGGCAAGCGUCGUUCGGAAUUAUUGGGCGUAAAGGGCGCGUAGGCGGUUUGCUAAGUCGGUUGUGAAAGCCCGGGGCUCAACCCCGGAGGGUCGGCUGAUACUGGUGGACUAGAGUACGGAAGAGGUAGCUGGAAUUCCCGGUGUAGCGGUGAAAUGCGUAGAAAUCGGGAGGAACACCUGAGGCGAAGGCGGGCUACUGGGCCGAUACUGACGCUGAUGCGCGAAAGCCAGGGGAGCAAACGGG